GUUUGAGGUCUUGUAAGGGAAACUGAAGGGAAUUGUGUGUUGAACAGGAUGGCUUAGACUUGCUCAACUUCUGAGAAUUGAGGCAAAGUGGGCAAUCCAGAUGUAUCACUUGACUUUCUGACUACUGGGAGAAUUUCCCUUCAUUGUUGCACACCAGGGAUAUCCCUCAGAGAGAAGAGAUCAAAAGAAGGAUGAUCCCCCCCACAGAUGUGCAAGUGACUAAUUCAGUCCAGAAGGAAACCAGGCCCCCGGCACAGUGUUGAGAGAAGACAGCACCAGCCAGCCUUGUAGCCUGAGAAGCUGUCUCCUCACCAGCUUUCUCCUCACCAACUCUUCAAAGAUCCGGUUGAUACUAAAUGCACAUGCUAAAAUAUGAUUCCCCAGUCCUGACCAAGCUGAAUCUCCUUUGUUACUCAUGGGGCAACAGGGACUUACCUGCCAGUGCAGGAGAAAGGAGAGAUCCUUUAGAACAGGAGCUAAGAUGCCAGGAGCUCACACAAAAUGCUUGAAGAAAGGGGCUUAGCCAGAAACCGAAC
rnacentral:lncRNA from 1 species